rnacentral:rRNA from 1 species
AAGAAUUUAAAAGUCGAACAGACUUAAAAUUUGAACGGCUACACCCAAAAUUAUAUCUUAAUCCAACAUCGAGGUCGCAAUCUUUUUUAUCGAUAUGAACUCUCCAAAAAAAUUACGCUGUUAUCCCUAAAGUAACUUAAAUUUUUAAUCAUUAUUAAUGGAUCAAUUAUUCAUAAAUUAAUGGUUUUUAAAAUUAAAAGUUUUUUAAAUUUUAAUAUCACCCCAAUAAAAUAUUUUUAUUUAUUAGAAGAAAAAUUGUCUUUACAAUUAAAAUAAACAAAAUAUAAAGAUUUAUAGGGUCUUCUCGUCUUUUAAAUUUAUUUUAGCUUUUUGACUAAAAAAUAAAAUUCUAUAAAAAAUUUAAAUGAAACAGUUAAUAUCUCGUCCAACCAUUCAUUCCAGCCUUCAAUUAAAAGACUAAUGAUUAUGCUACCUUUGCACAGUUAGAAUACUGCGGCCAUUUAAAAUUUUCAGUGGGCAGGUUAGACUUUAAAUUUAAUUCGAAAAGAC